GCCUCGGUGGCGGAAUUGGUAGACGCGCUGGAUUCAAAACCCAGUUCUUAGGAGUGUGGGUUCGAUUCCCACCCGGGGUACAA
rnacentral:tRNA from 1 species